rnacentral:snoRNA from 1 species
AAUACUAUACGAUGAGGUGUCCUUUCUCUAGCUUAUUUUUAGAGAAGUUUCCUGAUCUUAUAUGCAACCAGAACUAAGAGGAGUCAGGGGUUCCCUUCUGAGCAUGAAGCCAGCUCUAGGUGUGACUUUUGUAACUCCCUUUUUUGCCACUGAUGACCAUUAAAAAGAAAAAGGAAAGAAAUAUUUACAAUGUUC